rnacentral:rRNA from 1 species
UUCAGGGAAAAACUGUUUUAAACUUAAAAAUUAAAUUUAUUUUAAUUUGUGAAGAAACAAUUAUUUAAAUUAAGGACAAGAAGACCCUAAGAAUUUUAAAAAUAAUAAUUUUAAUAUUAAAAUUAUUAUUUUUUGGUUGGGGCAACUAAAAAAGAUUAUAGACUUUUUAUUUAAUAAAAUGAUCCAUUAUUAAUGAUAAUUUGAUAAAAAUACUCUAGGGAUAACAGCGUAAUAAUUUUUGAUAGAACAUAUAGACAAAAUAGUUUGCGACCUCGAUGUUGGAUUAGGAUACUUUUUUAAUGAAGAUGUUAAAAAAAGAAGUUUGUUCAACUUUUAAAGUCCU